GACGAACGCUGGCGGCGUGCUUAACACAUGCAAGUCGAACGGAAAGGCCCUGCUUUUGUGGGGUGCUCGAGUGGCGAACGGGUGAGUAACACGUGAGUAACCUGCCCUUGACUUUGGGAUAACUUCAGGAAACUGGGGCUAAUACCGGAUAGGAGCUCCUGCUGCAUGGUGGGGGUUGGAAAGUUUCGGCGGUUGGGGAUGGACUCGCGGCUUAUCAGCUUGUUGGUGGGGUAGUGGCUUACCAAGGCUUUGACGGGUAGCCGGCCUGAGAGGGUGACCGGCCACAUUGGGACUGAGAUACGGCCCAGACUCCUACGGGAGGCAGCAGUGGGGAAUAUUGCACAAUGGGCGGAAGCAGGAUGCAGCAACGCCGCGUGCGGGAUGACGGCCUUCGGGUUGUAAACCGCUUUCGCCUGUGACGAAGCGUGAGUGACGGUAAUGGGUAAAGAAGCACCGGCUAACUACGU
rnacentral:rRNA from 1 species